rnacentral:rRNA from 1 species
AUUAGAUACCCUGGUAGUCCACGCAGUAAACGAUGAAUACUAACUGUCCGGGACGAUUGAGUCCUGGGUGGUACAGCGAAAGCGUUAAGUAUUCCACCUGGGGAGUACGCCGGCAACGGUGAAACUCAAAGGAAUUGACGGGGGCCCGCACAAGCGGAGGAACAUGUGGUUUAAUUCGAUGAUACGCGAGGAACCUUACCCGGGCUCAAACGACGGACGGAUGUUUUUGAAAGGAGGCAGCCCUACGGGGCGUCCGUCGAGGUGCUGCAUGGUUGUCGUCAGCUCGUGCCGUGAGGUGUCGGCUUAAGUGCCAUAACGAGCGCAACCCCCAUCGCCAGUUACCAUCAAGUGAAGUUGGGGACUCUGGCGAGACUGCCGGCGCAAGCUGCGAGGAAGGCGGGGAUGACGUCAAAUCAGCACGGCCCUUACGUCCGGGGCGACACACGUGUUACAAUGGCAGGCACAGAGAGAAGCGACAUGGCGACAUGAAGCGGAACUGGUAAAACCUGUCUCAGUUCGGAUUGGAGUCUGCAACCCGACUCCAUGAAGCUGGAUUCGCUAGUAAUCGCGCAUCAGCCACGGCGCGGUGAAUACGUUCCCGGGCCUUGUACACACCGCCCGUCAAGCCAUGGAAGCCGGGAGUGCCUGAAGUGUGCAACCGCAAGAAGCGCCCUAAGGUAAAACCGGUGACUGGGGCUAAGUCGUAACAAGGUACC